GCCCGGCUAAUUUUUUUGUAUUUUUAGUAGAGACGGGGUUUCACCGUGUUAGUCAGGAUGGUCUCGAUCUCCUGACCUCGUGAUCCACCCACCUCAGCCUCCCAAAGUGCUGGGAUUACAGGCGUGAGCCACCGCACCCGGCCUUACACUUAUGGGUCUUGAAGUCAAAGGAGCCCGCGGUGAUGCCGCCAGCACCUGGGGUUUGUCCGAGCCCCGCAGCUCCUCCGGCCCUGGAGCCUGGGCGCUGCUCGCUGGGAUCUCUGAUCCAGUCUCGCCUCUUUUUGUGUCCAUCCGCAGACAAAUACCUGUUACGUUCUAGGUGCUGAGGACACAGCGUGAGAGAGAAAAGGACAGACACCUCCUUCUUCCUGGAGCCUGGAUGGGGCCGACAGGCACGGGGGAAGCCUCAGCCACUGUCUACUCAGAUUUCCACACGCCACUGCCAAGUGGCCUCCUGUUCUCUGUGUCUGUGCCUCCUCUUCUACCUCUUAGAAGGACACCUGUCACUGGAUUUAGGGCCCUUCCAGGUACUCCAGGAUAAUAUCAUCUGCUGGAGAUCCCUACCUCGAUCACAACUGCGAAGACCCUAAUUCCAAGUGGCUGGACUUGCUCCCUGAUACCCCCAACCUGCAGACACGCGGCCUUGGAUUCAAGUGGGGCUGGGCUCCUCGGCCUCUGCCAGGCCACCCCACCCUCCCCCAGCUCCCAGCAGAGGCCAGCAGCCAAAACACUGCAGGCCAGCAGAGCUGGAGAUCAGCAGACCCCAGAGGUGUAGACCUCCCGGCUCCAGACCUGGUCCUCCCCGCCCCGCUGGUGGUGCGGCCUCAGGCCAGUCCACUGCCUCUCCGCGCCUUGCCCUUCUCGCCAGGACUCAGGCCCAGCCUUACGAGAGAGGGUAAAACCAGACAACAACGGCAGGUCCUCCACCUGCACCUGGCCCCUCGGACUCCACCUACACCCGGCCCCUCGGAGGUGCCCAAUAAACUCCGGUGCUGACGGUUGUGCCUGACACCCCCUGUCUCCUUUUGUGAUCUUCCACAGAUCACGCUGCUGCUUUGUGCCUCAGUUUCCCCAUCUGUACCACAGGGGGCUGGAUCAGACAUCGCUGAGAUCUUUGUAGAGCAGCACAGCUCCGUUGCUGAUGUUCUAAGUAACCAAAUUGUGUCCCGGACGCUGAGGUGUAACAGCCUUAUCAGGGCCGGGCGCGGUGGCUCAGGCCUGUAAUCCCGGCACUUUGGGAGGCUGAGGUGGGUGGAUCACCUGAGGUCAGGAGUUCAAGACCAGUCUGGCCAAGAUGGUGAAACCCCAUCUCCAUUAAAAAUACAAAAAUUAGCCAGGCGUGGUGGUGCAUGUCUGUAAUCCCAGCUACUCAGGAGGCUGUGGCAGGAGAAUUGCUUGAACUGAGGAGGCAGAGGUUGCAGUGAGCCGAGAUCACACCACUGCACUCCAGCCUGGGUGACAGAGCGAGACUCUGUCUCAAAACAAACAAACAAACAAAACAAAACAAAACAAAAAGCUGCCUCAUGAGGACAGACUCGGCCGAGCAGUGGCAGAGCGAGGCCUGUUCACAGAUGGGUGUUAGGAAAGGGAGGAUGUGGCCCGGCGCGGUGGCUGACGCCUGUAAUCCCAGAACUUUGGGAGGCCGAGGCGGGCGGAUUACCUGAAGUCAGGAGUUUAAGACCAGCCUGGCCAGCAUGGUGAAACCCCGCCUCUACUCAAAAACUACAAAAAUUAGCCAGGCAUGGUGGUGGCGCAUGGCUGUAAUCCCAGCUACUUGGAAGGCUGAGGCAGGAGAAUCACUUGAACCUGGGAGGCGGAGGUUACAGUGCGCUGAGAUCGCGCCACUGCACUCCAGACUGGGCAACAAGAGCGAAACUCCGUCUCAAGAAAAAACAAAACAAAACAAAAAAAUCCCCACAGUGGUUAAAACAGAGUGAUACUGGCACAAGAAUAGGCACGAAGACCAACGGCGCCGAGUCCAGAAACAGACUCAAACAGAUAAGGAAUGUGGCAUGUGACAAAGACAGAAUGUCAAAUCAGUGAUAAAAACAGAUCAUUCAAAAACCCCUCCACACCUGGGAAGCCGGGGAGCCAUCCAGAAAAAAUAAAGUUGAAUGUCUCACACCUCAUACCAAAAUAAAUUUCAGAUGGAUCUGAGAUUUCAAUGUAAAAAAUAAAACCACAAAGUCUAGAAAGCAACAGAAGAUGCAUCUUUAGAAGCUUGAGGCGAGACCUUCCUAAGCAUGAUGCAAAAUACAAAAAUCCAACACAUAAAUUUUUAAAAAUAAAUUCAAUUCCAUAGGCUGGGCGCGAUGGCUUAUGCCUGUAAUCCCAGAACUUUAAGAGACCGAGGCGGGUGGACGUUUGAGUUCAGGAGUUUGAGACCAGCCUGGGCAACAUGGAGAAACCCUGUUUUUACAAAAAAAAAAAAAAAAGCAAAAAUUAGCUGGGCGUGAUGGCACAUGCCUGCGGUUUCAGUUACCCAGGAGGCUGAGGUGGGAGGAUCGCUUGAGCUCAGGAGGCAGAGGCUGCAGUGAGCCGUGAUCACACCACUGCCCUCCAGCCUGGGGACACAGCAAGACUCGGCCUCAAAUACAUAAAUAAAUGAAUUCAACUCCAUAAAAUAAAAUUUCUGCGUAGCAACAACCACAUUAAGCAAAGUCAAAGUCUGCUGUUUAGGCAAGCGGGGAAAUUCCUUGUGAACUCUAUCCCCCUCGAAGGGCUGAAUUCUCUCAUUUAGAAAGAGCUCUAACAAAUCAAUAAUGAGGUUAUAAUCCAGCACAGGGAAAAAAUGGAAAGCAAAGAAUACGAACAGAGCAUUCACACGAAAGGAAAAACAAAUGCUCCAUAAACAUGCAAAAAGAUGCUCCCCCACUCUUUUUUUUUUUUGUAUGUGUGAGACAGAGUCUCGCUCUGUCCCCCAGGCUGGAGUGCAGUGGUGCGAUCUCAGCUCACUGCCACCUCCAACUCUCGGGUUCAAGCGAUUCUCCUGUCUCAGCCUCCCAAGUAGCUGGGAUGACAGGUGUGUGGCACCGUGCCCGGCUAGUUUUUGUAUUUUUAGUAGAGAUGGGGCCGCGCCAUGUUGGCCAGGCUGGUCUUGAACUCCUGACUUCAGGUGAUCUGCCUGCCUCGGCCUCCCAAGUGCUGGGAUUUCAGGCGUGAGCCGCCGCGCCUGGUCCUCCACCUCCUUCUUGGUGAGAGAAAUGCAAACUAAAACGGCACUGACAGCGUGUUUCCUAUCAGGUUGGCCAUGGCUUUGAUUACAUGGUGUUGUCUGCACCGGGAGGAGGCAGGGACCAGCAAGUGUUGUAAGUGGUUGCACUCCCUACAGAGGGCAACUCGGAAAAAUCUCUCAGAAGGACGAAUCCUUUGACCCUGCUUCGAGGAAGUCGUGCUGCCUGUGGUGAUCUUGGGGACGAGGUCAUUGCAGCGCAGCUCCUUAGCUUCUCAGGAAAAACCUACAUACUCAUCGCUGGCCUGUGCACGCCACACAGCACAGCAGAAUAUUCGACGAGCAAAGAAAAGACCGAGGAAGGAGGUUUUCGGGCUGUGAUAAGGGACUGUCUCUAAGUUCCACGUUGCAGGUGAGAAGGGAGCCGUGCCCACUGGUGUCCAGAGCUGGUGAGAGAGCGCAGAGCGGGGCGGAACGCAGAGACAGGUGCCCAGGGCAGGUGGAAACUCAGCAUGCCUGCAGGGCCUCAUGGGGAAGGGCCCACCGGUUGCUUAUUCACUCAUCCCACACUGCUGCACUGGGCAGACAGAGCUCAACCCUGCAAGGUAGGCCCUGUGCUCUCAAACUCAGACCUUGGCAGAGGGACAGGGUGACAAGCUGUGGGUGAUGACAAUUUCCUGUGACAAGGGCAAUGCUGUGAGGGGCCAGACCCAGAGGAGGCUGCACUGAGCUGGAGGGAAGGGAGUGGACCACGCUGAGGCGGGAGGUCCGACAAGCCAGCCCCCUCCACCCGAAGGGAGUUCCCAGGGUCUGAGCUUCAGGUCCAGAGAUGCGGGAGGGACAGGGAGGUGGGACAGCCCCUCCCUCCGGCCUGGGCUGGGGCAGCUUCCAGGGCCGCGUUUCUGGGGACGCUGGCCUCAUUCAUCAGUGUCUUAUGUGCAUGGCCCUUCAUCUCUGGGUACACCCGCCCUGCAGAAAGGCACUGGCUCUGUCUCUGCCUCCUGGCUAUGCUGCCCUUCCCCAGAGGGAAGGACAAUGGGGGUAGAGAGGAGGUGGGAAAGUCUGGCGGGGACCAUUGUGUGAGGCCCUGCAUGUUUGCAUAGUGAGUGCCUUGACUGCUGAAUGGACACAGGCAUCCCAAGAAUGCUGGCAGAGCCCACCAAGGGGCCGGCCCCGCACCCCCAAGCCUCUGACGCUUGCUGUCACUCGAGCCUGUCAGCACAGAGGGUAGGGAGAGAUGAGACUGGCCAGGUUUAAGCACCAAGUAGGAGUCAUCAAGAGCUGCCAAGCACAGUGGUGCCGGUUGUAAACUGCACAAUUCCCGGGAGUGCCAUUGACCUGGGUGGCUACAACUGCCAGCAACCCUGUAGCCACUCUGUUGGCCUCAGUGGUCUCAGCAGUAAAAUGGCACAGGAGACCCCGUCCUGAGAAGGACACACGGUCGUCAGAAGGAAUCUGGACUCCAUCUGGAACAGAGCGAGGACCCCUCUACAGAGCCGGGACCUUCUCCGGAAAGGAGCUGGGCCUGCAUGGCCGUGCACAGAUGCCGGGAGUGCGGUGCUCUGUCCACCCAGGACUCCGCUUGCAGGGCCUCACGCUGCAUGGCUGACCCAACCCAGGACUGCGCUUGCGGGGCCUCACACUGCCUGGCCCACCCAAUUUCAAACAGUUCUCACGCUAGAAGAUGCACAAAGCCAGCUUUACAUUUUGGGGAAUGAUUCAGAAGGGCCAGGGACCUGCCGAGACACCUGGGGCUUCUUUGUGGGGCCCCAUCAAUGGGAGGCGGGGACCCUUGGGUCAGCCCAGACCCUGCUGGGCCUCAGUUUCUCAUGCCCAGCUCCAGCCGGGAGCCUGGGCAGGUCCAGAAUCACCGCACACGCAGAAGGGCCUCACUAGGACGGGGUGAGAGGUGAGGCUGGGAGCUGGGGCUUCCUCUUGGGAGUCCAGCGGGGCGACUGCCGCCCACGUGUGGGCUCCCUUGAAAUUCACAGACACACCCAGCGCGGUUGCUGGCCGCAGUGCUGGCUCAAUAAGGCCAGUGGAGUCAGACAGUGAGAAGUCACCAUUUCCUGCUGAUCUGAAACAUCUUGUGAAACCCUCUGGCCCAGCCCUUUCCUUUCUCGUGGCAGCCUCUGGUCCCCUGUGGACUUUCCUGUUUACUGCACCCCAGAGGUGGGCCCUGACCUGGUUGAGCUGGGCUUAGCUGUCAGAUUCCAUUUUGGGCCUCGGCCCCCAGGUCCCGGCCUGCAGGCAGCUGGGCUGGUCGGGGCCGGCUCCUUCAUGCAGCCAGCGCAUUAGCUCCAGGCCUGGGGUGCUGCCCGCUGUGCCCCUUCCUGGAAGCCCUCCCUGCCUCUCCAGCGGGAGACAAUGCAGCCUCUGGGGCAAGGCAGGAGGCUGCGGGCAGGCUCCAGGGACCUCCUGCCAGGCGUGGCUGCAGGGCGCCCCUCCCAGGUGAGGCUGGCAGCUGCCUCCUGGUCAGGUUCACACCCACCCUCAGCGUGCAACAACCCCCCUCCUCAGCCCCUUCUGCUGUGACCUGGGCUGCUCCUCCCUGCGGUCACUAUAGGAGUCCCACGGCCCUGUCCCCAAUCCUGCCCUUCUGCCUAGUCCUGGGCCCCUCCCCUUGAGCACUUCCCAAGCUCUGAGCCACAAGCCCGUGGGCCUCUGGAAAUCCCAGGGCCUGGGGUAUGACGGGGCCAGGGAGGGGGAGAUUUGUCCCGGGGCAGCUGCUUUGGGCAGUUCGCUCUCGCAUGGAGGGCAUGGUCCAGGCCCUGUCGGGUGGGCAGGUGGCCCCACAGCUUUCUGGGCAGGGGUCUUGCCUGCUGGCCUCAUGCUGAGCGCACCUGAUCAGCCACCCGCUGCGUGUCUCACCAUAGCCCCACUGUACAGGUGAGAACAUGGAGCUGACUGAGGGAACAGUGUGGACGCAGCAGAGUCGCCUGAGAACCCAGCUCCAUGGCCCCCACGCCAGCCACCAAACCCCUCUGUGACCUGAGAAACAGAAACCAGACUCAGCCCGGCAGGUGUCAGACCCUGGUCUGGUUGGUCCGCAGCGGCUCCUGGCUCAGCGCAGGGACUGCCAGGGUCCAGGGGCCCUCAGGGGACUUGUUGAAGCCCAGCUCCUGCCAGGGAGGACAAGAACUCUCUUCUUCCAGGAGUAAACAGAAACGAGGGCCUGGCCCUGGGGUCCUAGGUGCCUCUGACCCCACCAGGAACCUCUGAGUCUCCCGAAGCACCUGCUGGCAGGGUGGGUGCAGCUCAGCAUGUGGGAGGACAUCGGGUCGCCAUUUCCCGAUAGAGCCAACAGCCUCUCCUCAAUGUGCUGUGCGGCCAGCCUGCCCCAGCUGGCUCUGGACUGAGGAGGUGGGCGCAGGGACUACAGAAGGGUCCAUGCUGGUGGGGGGCCCACUGCUGGGCCUAGGCAGGAGAAGGCUCCAGGCCAGAGGCCGCUAGCAGGGCAGACCCCAGCCUAGCCACGCGGGCUGGGAGGAAAGGGGAGGAUGCGGCGUCUGCUGUGACAGGCUUUGGGUCAAGGGUCUGCUCUGAGCCCCGAGCUCACCGCCACAGGGGCUUUCCCAGGCUGGCUUGGCAGCGGGCGGGGGCUCAGGGGAGCUCAGGAAGCGGGUGGUUCCCACAGCAGCGGCUCAGGCAGGCGGCCCACACACCCAGCCAGCGGGCUCCCGUGGGAAGGAGACCUGGAGGCCGGGGCUCUCCUCCCGUCUGCUCUAACCUCCUGGACAACCUUCAAUGCUGUCCUUCCCUCUCAGGCCUCAGUUUCCCAGUGAUCUUGAGGGGUGGUCGCUGGAGGUCAAAAGGGGAAGAUGACUGUUCAGUUGCCUUGUAAGCAGUGAACGCUUGCAGAAUCACAGCAGCUCCUGGCGUGGCUGGAUCCAGGGCUCCGGCAAUGCUGCCUGGACUUUGUGUCUGUCCCUCUUUGGGCUCCCUGACCCUGAUGUGGGCUCCCUCCCUGGUAAUCCCUUCCCACGGUGUGGCAAAGAUGGCUCAUGUCCCCCAGGUCGGCAACUCCCCUGGAAGAUAGGGUCUGCACAGGUCCUAGGCCCCCCUGUUCCAGGCAGCCUGGGCCCAGAAGUCCAAACACGUGGGCAGAUGGUUAGGGGAACAGUGGGUCCCCAAACCACAGCUGUCCACUGAAAGUGCUGACCACAAGCCAGGCCCAGGGCCAAGCACCAAGUGCCCACUGAGCCCACCUCAUCCCCUCACAGGUGCCAAAAGUGAGUCCAUUCCACAGAAGGGCACCCAAGGUGCAGAGCGGAAGUGUCACCUGCCUGAGGUCACCCAGCUUCAGGCAGAGACCAGGUGGAUAUGAGGAUCAAGGAUCCCGGUUCCACGGGCUGAAUUUCAACUCCUGAGCUCUCCUCGGGCUUCCCCAGUGAUUCUGGAGCCCUGCAGGGCAGGAAGCGAGUCCUAAUGCCCAUCCCAGACCUGCCGCCUCAGUGUCCCUUCCUGCCUUGGGGGGAAAGCUGGGGUGAGGAGGAUGCAACAGGGGCAACCGUUGGACCCCAGGGAGAGCCCAAGUCCUGGGCAUAAAGCACAGCACAUUCAUUCCGGAGCUGGGCCUCACCUGGGGCAAAUCAUAUUUUCACUCUAAAACAAAUGCAAACUCAAUGAUUAAGAUGAGCUACACACACUGGCUCUAAGGUGAACAAUUCAGGAGGGUUUGGUCGCACGCGGCCAGCGUGGGCCCUCAGUAGCGCCUCUGGGUGGAGCUCUCUCGGGAGUCUUCCCUCUCGGCUGUGGGACUCGAGGCGGCCAGGAGAAGCCAGAACUGAGGGCAUGCGGUCCACGCAGGAGCACGGGAGCCACGGGCCACGGGGUCCCCUCCUCACAGGAGCCACUGGUCGCGGGCAAGCACUGGGUGGUGGUGGAGUCCCAGAUGAGCUCCAGCACUGUCCAGAGAAAACAAGGCUACCGUCCAGCACACGUCCUCACUCACCCCGGCCACGGUGAUCUGACCACGGCCACGACCAGGCCACGGGGCCUCCCCACCACUGGGUCAAAGGCUGUUCUCAAGAGACUCAGUGACUUUUGGAGCACAGAGCAUCUUGGGUUAGUCUCCUGUCCACUUGGUUCCAUCAGCUGAGUUGUGCAGGGGUUCCUGGCCCACCUGGAACGCAGGGCCUUCCUGAGAUGCCAAGUACCCUGGGCUACAAGGGAGAGUUCCCGUGGCUGGAGGGCAUGGCCACCGGGAGGACGCCACAGAGAAAGUCCCAGGACCGAUGCUCUGAAAGCUGACCCAGUGCUGCCUCGGAGGGCCCCGGCUUGACUCACCACCCAUCCCCGCACUAAGUCUAUGCUGACCCUGGCAUGCUGCACCCACCCAACCCUUGUCCUCUGCAGGUCCCAGUCUGGUGGGGCAAUGGGCACCGAGUGAAGUUUUAAGAAAAUGACUGUGGUUUCCAACCAUAAUGACGAGCCCAGCAGUCUGGGUUGUGGGGCUUGUGGAAGGCUCCAUCAGAGGGUCCUGUGAGCUGAGGAAAGGGAUCGAGCUGGACCCCAGGACACACUUCUACCCCUAACUCUGCUCCUAGGGGCUCUAAAAAGUAAAGGAGUGUAUUAGGCCAUUCUCACACUGCUAUAAAGAGCUACCUAAGGGCGGGCGCAGCAGCUCAAGCCUGUAAUCCCAGCACUUUGGGAGGCCAAGGCAGGCAGAUCACGAGGUCAGGAGCUCGAGACCAGCCCGACCAACAUGGUGAAACCCUGUCUCUACUAAAAAUACAAAAAUUAGCUGGGCAUGGUGGCAAGCACCUAUAAUCCCAGCUACUCAGGAGGCUGAGGCGGGAGAAUCGCUUGAACUUGGGAGGUGGAGUUUGCAGUGAGCCGAGAUCAAGCUGCUACACUCCAGCCUGGACGACAGAGCAAGACUCUGUCUCAAAAAAUAAAAACUACCUGAGACUAGGUAAUUUAUGAAAAAAGAAGUUUAAUUGACACAGUUCUGCAGGCUGUUCAGGAGGCAUGGCUGAGGAGGCCUCAGGAAACUUACAAUCAUGGUGGAAGGCAAAGAGGAAGCAGGCACCAUUUUCAUAUGGCCAGAGCAGGAGAGAGUGCGAAGGGGGAAGUCCAUCCCGUGCUUCAAUCAUGGCCCACCAGGCCACGCCUUCAACAUGUGGGGAUUACAAUUUGACAUGAAAUUUGGGUGGGGACAUAGAACCAAACCAUAUCAUUCCAGCCCUGGCCCCUCCCAAAUCUCAUGUCCUUCUCACAUUUCAAAACACAAUCAUGCCUUCUCAACAGACCCCCAAAUCUUAACCCAUUUCAGCAUUAACUCAAAAGUCCAAAGUCUCAUCUGAGACAAGACAAGUCCCUUCUGCCUAUGAGCCUGUAAAAUCAAAAACAAGUUACUUACUUCCAAGAUACAAUGUGGGUACAGGCACUGGGUAAAUGCUCCCAUUUCAAAAGGGAGAAAUUGGCCAAAACAAAGGGCCUACAGGCCCCAUGCAUGUCCUGAACCCAGUAGGGUAGUCAUUAAACGGUUUUUUGUUUUUUUUUUGAGAUGAAGUCUUGCUCUUGUCCCCCAGGCUGGAGUGCAAUGGCACGACCUCGGCUCA
rnacentral:lncRNA from 10 species